rnacentral:misc_RNA from 1 species
GUUUCAUCCGUUGCAAACCAAGAUGUAUGCCUAAUCACGCAACACACUUACCACUAGACAAAAACCCUAGGGGCGGAACUCCCAAACAUUUUGGAGCCUAUUUUUGCACACUUCAAUUUGUUUAUAAUCUUAUAGUAAUCUGGGUGGCUUUUGGUAAAGAAAUUGCUAGAGUAGAUAUCUCAUAUGUUAAGUAUAGAUUUCUAUAAAAUCUUUUUUUAGAAAUGCAAAUAGUUGUCUGGC